UACGAAGGGGACUAGCGUUGUUCGGAAUUACUGGGCGUAAAGCGCACGUAGGCGGAUUUGUAAGUCAGGGGUGAAAUCCCGGGGCUCAACCUCGGAACUGCCUUUGAUACUGCAAAUCUCGAGUCCGAUAGAGGUGGGUGGAAUUCCUAGUGUAGAGGUGAAAUUCGUAGAUAUUAGGAAGAACACCGGUGGCGAAGGCGGCCCACUGGAUCGGUACUGACGCUGAGGUGCGAAAGCGUGGGGCGCAAACAGG
rnacentral:rRNA from 1 species